rnacentral:rRNA from 1 species
GAACGGUGGAAUGAGCGGCGGACGGGUGAGUAACACGUAAAGAACCUGCCCAUAGGUCUGGGAUAACCACGAGAAAUCGGGGCUAAUACCGGAUGUGUCAUCGGACCGCAUGGUCCGCUGAUGAAAGGCGCUUCGGCGUCGCCCAUGGAUGGCUUUGCGGUGCAUUAGCUAGUUGGUGGGGUAACGGCCCACCAAGGCGACGAUGCAUAGCCGACCUGAGAGGGUGAUCGGCCACACUGGGACUGAGACACGGCCCAGACUCCUACGGGAGGCAGCAGUAGGGAAUCUUCCACAAUGGACGAAAGUCUGAUGGAGCAACGCCGCGUGAACGAUGAAGGCUUUCGGGUCGUAAAGUUCUGUUGUAAGGGAAGAACAAGUGCCGCAGGCAAUGGCGGCACCUUGACGGUACCUUGCGAGAAAGCCACGGCUAACUACGUGCCAGCAGCCGCGGUAAUACGUAGGUGGCAAGC